rnacentral:rRNA from 1 species
UGGGGGAUAUUGCACAAUGGGCGCAAGCCUGAUGCAGCGACGCCGCGUGGGGGAUGAAGGCCUUCGGGUUGUAAACUUCUUUUGCUCUGAACAAGGCGCACUUUGGGGUGUGCUGUGUGUAGGGGUUGAUUAGCGCCGGCUAACUACGUGCCAGCAGCCGCGGUAAUACGUAGGGCGCGAGCGUUGUCCGGAAUUAUUGGGCGUAAAGGGCUUGUAGGUGGCUGGUUGCGUCUGUCGUGAAAGCUCAUGGCUUAACUGUGGGUUUGCGGUGGAUACGGGCUGGCUUGAGUGCAGUAGGGGAGGCUGGAAUUCCUGGUGUAGCGGUGGAAUGCGCAGAUAUCAGGAGGAAUACCGGUGGCGAAGGCGGGUCUCUGGGCUGUUACUGACACUGAGGAGCGAAAGCAUGGGGAGCGAACAGG